rnacentral:rRNA from 1 species
CCUACGGGAGGCAGCAGUGGGGAAUCUUGCGCAAUGGGCGAAAGCCUGACGCAGCCAUGCCGCGUGUAUGAUGAAGGUCUUAGGAUUGUAAAAUACUUUCACCGGGGACGAUAAUGACGGUACCCGGAGAAGAAGCCCCGGCUAACUUCGUGCCAGCAGCCGCGGUAAUACGAAGGGGGCUAGCGUUGCUCGGAAUUACUGGGCGUAAAGGGAGCGUAGGCGGACAGUUUAGUCAGAGGUGAAAGCCCAGGGCUCAACCUUGGAAUUGCCUUUGAUACUGACUGUCUUGAGUGUGGGAGAGGUGAGUGGAACUCCGAGUGUAGAGGUGAAAUUCGUAGAUAUUCGGAAGAACACCAGUGGCGAAGGCGACUCACUGGCCCAUUACUGACGCUGAGGCUCGAAAGCGUGGGGAGCAAACAGGAUUAGAUACCCUGGUAGUCCACGCCGUAAACGAUGAGUGCUAGUUGUCGGCAUGCAUGCAUGUCGGUGACGCAGCUAACGCAUUAAGCACUCCGCCUGGGGAGUACGGUCGCAAGAUUAAAACUCAAAGGAAUUGACGG